rnacentral:rRNA from 1 species
GACGUAGGGCGCGAGCGUUGUCCGGAUUUAUUGGGCGGAAAGAGCGUGUAGGCGGCUAGAUAGGUCCGUUGUGAAAACUCGAGGCUCAACCUCGAGACGUCGAUGGAAACCAUCUGGCUAGAGUCCGGAAGAGGAGAGUGGAAUUCCUGGUGUAGCGGUGAAAUGCGCAGAUAUCAGGAAGAACACCCGUGGCGAAGGCGGCUCUCUGGUACGUGACUGACGCUGAGACGCGAAAGCGUGGGGAGCAAACAGG